AAAUUCGAAACCCUAGAAAGAAAUUCUUGGCCAAAGUAAGUGUUGUUGGAGAAGAAAGAAACAAAUCAGUUUCGUUCUUGAUUUUUCCAUUCUACACCUUCUCUCUCUCUCUCAUCCGUUUACCGCUGCUUUCGAUCUUCUUGUUUACCGUUUAGCACUAAUAUGCGCUUCCGUACUAAAGCAUUUCACCUUCAUGAAAGCUGGAAGAAUCGUGUUUUUCACGUUAGGAUUUUACUGAAGCCUGUUGAUGUGAUCCGCCAGCUGUUGUAUGUUUACACACUGGAUCUCCAGCGUUCUCAGUGAAUAUUAGAACGGCACUGACUUCAUAUGAUUCUUUACUGCUCUAUGUUUACGCAACACUCUCUUUAGCUUUAGCGUUUUUUAAAGCCAAAAGGAUGCCAGAGGCAUGUUGAGAAUUGCAGAAGCCGCAGCCCACAGUUUGGAGUACUACCACCUCCGUGAAAAUGUUAUUCUCCAUUUGCCACUACUUCCUUAUGAUAAUUGGUUCUGUAAGAUUGCUGAUACUGUUUUUCAUUGUGUUAUCACUUAAAUGUUUUAGAACGUUGCAUGAACAUAAAUCUGGGUAUUCUGCUAAGAUAACUUGCAACUCUGGUUAAAUUCCUUAAACUCUAGCUGUUUACACUUUAAAUAAGAAAAAUGAGUAAGAAAGAAUCACUGGUGAAAGAAUAUAUAAUAUAUAACUACUGAAAUUAAAAUAAUGCCAUCCGCCAGUGGCUAUAGCCUGGCACUUGCGGAGAUGUGUAUGAAAGAGAAGAGAGUUGAAGAGAAACACUAAAACAACAUAGUAGUUUAUUGAAUCAUUGAAAUAAAUCAGAGCGUAUUGAAUGAUUACCCAAUAUCACUUUUAUAAUCAUUUAAACCUAACUACUUUAAUAAAUAUAGGAAACAAUAAAUUAAAUACUGAUAAUAAAUAAAUAUUAAUAAUUAGUUGAUAAUUAUCUUUAACAACUUCAUAUGUAUUUGGCCAACGGCCAGUUAAAACUAAAAUACCUUCGUAGUAUGUCUUUAUUUGAUUGAUUUUAGGGUACAUGAUGUUAUUACUAAUAGAUUGAUUGCACAAGGGACAUGUAUUAAGUGGUGGAUUAAACUAGAGAUAGGAGCCUCAAAUCUCUCUUCCAUAUCUUUGGAUAUGGUUCUUUUUCAUUGUUUAUGCCAGUAACCAAAUUGGUUUGAAAUUGUUAUAUUUCUGGAACAUAGAAAUGAUAGAAAAAGGCAAGAAUUCUAGGAUUAAAGAAGGUAUCUGAACAUAGAAGUUUUUCUGAGAUGUGCAAAAAUGCUCAUAGGCAUUUUGAUUACAUUGCCAAUAUGUGUGACUGGAAGUUAGAAAAAAACAAGUGAGAAAUUUAACUUCUAAGAAGCAUGCAUGAGUGGCUAAACCUGAUAGUUUGGUCAUCUCGAUUUCACAGUUUAUCUUGUUAAUGCUAGAAUUUGAUAGUUGAAUGAUUACGUGUAGAUCAAACCUUACAACCAGAAUUUACCUGUAGACAUCAAGUAUUUGGAUAUAAGAAGCUACUAGAAGAAUCUUGGUUUUCUAGUAACCUUUUCACUUUUAUUUUUCUUUACCUUAUAUAAUGUUUUAACUGGACAAUGGAUAGCCAUGUUCAUAUAGAUAUUUAUAUAUGUAUAUCAGAUUAAACAAGUUGUUCUCUUUGAGGGAAAUUACCUAGGUUGAUGUUUAUACUGGUUAUUUUUAUCUGUGGUUCUAAUGGUGUCACUAGAACGUUGACAUUUCUUUAUUAUUUGAAAAUUUAUUGCUCAUAUAAAUUGAAGUAUCACCAAUUUCGAUUUUGAAAACAACAAUUGCCAAUCAUUUUGUAG